UGUCAUGCAGCCGGCUGUGUCCCUC
rnacentral:misc_RNA from 1 species